UUUUUUUUUUUUUUUUCCUACUUUAGUUUUUCCUUCUGGUCCAGUUCGCCCACACCUUCAAGAGGACACACUAGUAAAGGGUGAAUUCCCCAAGUGCUGUGUGUUCUUAGGCAAGCUGCUUAACGUCUCUGUUUCUUCUUGGAAAUGCGAUCAUACUACGUGGUCUAGCCAAGUGGACUGACAUAAGGCUUGAAGCCCAUUUGUAUACGCACAUCCUUAAGUGCUCCAACUGUUUGACUUCACGGCAGGUCCACCAUAUCUCCAGCUUUUUCUUCCACAUGAAGCUACUUCACCAAUAUGCUCAUGGACACUUUGUAUUUUAAAGCCAUCUUUCUUGCUGGCCCCCUUACAGAGGAGUCGGCAGUUAUCAAUAGGCAGGACUCAAGCCUCUUUUCACCAUUAGGGUAUUUUGCACAUCCCUUCACAGGUUGUAGCUAAAAGAAUAAAAAUUAGAUUGAAAUAUUAAAUAACCUGGCUAGCCAGAGACAUUUUGCCAGAUGCCAGCACUUGUGUCCUAGAUAGUGAAAAGACCACUACAGUAAUGAGAAGCAAUGUUGGAUUUAAAAAAAAAAAAAACAAAAAAAAAAAAGGCAGCCUUUGGAACAGGGUAAAUGGGACUCAAAUCCGUAUAGUAGCUAACAAUACUUGGGCUUCAAUUUAGGAGCUUCACUUGCCUCCUCCGUAAAAUGGGCCCAUUUGCAACAACCUCCAGACCUCCUGAAAGCAUUGAGUCCUUGAAAAAAACCGGAUAUAACGUGUAUAAGGUUCUCAGCACAGGGCCUGGCUGUGAUCCCUUGGAUGAAUGCAGGAGGCAUCCCGGAAUGCUAUGCAGAGUCAUAAUAAUAAUACCCAAAUAACAAUAAAACUAAACCUUCAUAUUUCUAUCCUUCCCAAUAUUUUGGGUCCCGGAUAAACUAGUCUAGUAAUGCGACAUAUGCAAAACACCAAGGUUAGCGGUCCUGUCGGCACCUUCCUCCCCACCCUGCCCCCAAACCACAAAUCCUCCGCCAUAUACAAAAUCCUUUCUCUAUUUAGGACUCGGUGGAAGCUUCGAGAACAGGACAGGGAUUGCUGGGACCUGGCCUCCACCCGCAACAAACGAGGUUGUACUUAACGAAUCCCUGGUGGCGGGGAUUUGACAUUCUGGACCUGAUGCAUCUGCCAGCCUCCGUCCCUGGUUCACACGCCCCUGAGGAUGCACUUUUUGCAUUGACUGUGUUUCUUUCGAUGCCAACCUAGACACCUCUCAAUAAAUUUCUGUUUGCCUGGGAGCUGACGGGCACAGAAAGCUAGAUUCAAUUUGUGCCGAUUUAUGAGGCACACGCACGGCCAUCCUGGAAACUUUCCUGGGGCUCACUUUAUAAAUUAACCCCUUAUUUAAAUAUUCUGCAGACUUAGCACCGGCCAGUGUUUGGGGGGCGGGAGGCACUGUCUCACAUCAGCCUUCUGGGUCUCUUGGUGUUUGCUGCCAUGACACCUGGGCCCUGCUCUGCACAGACAAUGCUGAUUUGCAAGAUUUAUGGGAGGAGGGGAGUGCCUGCGUCUCUUUGUCAUUCAGGCCACAGCAGCCCUGGUGGCACUGGGCUCCAAAGCAGGAACUUCAAGACCUCCGUAACUCAGGCACACGAGCAGCAUUUGGACUCGACGGAGCGUGGCUUCAUUCAUUCACUCAUUCACUGAUUCACCUAAAAUGUUUGGCAAAAACCAACAGGAUUCAAAACAGAGAAAAACACAAUACUUGGUCUCAAAGAAUGUAUAUUCUGCCUGUAGGCUCUCGUGGGAAGAACAUGACAUUUAUGAGCCAGCAGACCCUGGCUGGAGGGUUCCCUCUGCCACUCGGGAGCUGUGUGAUUCUGGGUAACUUACUGGUCCUCUUAAGCCUCGGUGUCCUCAUCUGGGAAAUGGGUACCAUCCCACUCAGUUUCACAGAGGACACAUUGAGGAAACACUACUCGCUGAACUGCUGUGCAAACCUGAAGCACCACACAAGCGAUCAAGAUUCUCAGACACGUGUCGGCAACACACAGGAGGAAGGAACGUGUGUCCAGUAAAGGAACCAAAGAGCAGUCACAGAAAACGAGACCCUGCCGCGGAGAGCCUAGCGGGGUCACAGUAACUAGGGGGUCCUCGCUGCGCUUUGUGGGUACUGUGACCCGAUUUUCUUUCCUCGUGGUUAAGAAGAAUGAGGAGGAGGAAAAGGAGGCGGAGGAACGAGACGGGGAUGGACAGGCUGUUGUCAAGAGAGGCGCGUGUCUGUAGUGGAGGAAGGAGAGUGUGAGACGGGCGGAAAAAGACGGAGGGAGAGAGAAGGCUGAGCCCGGUCGCUUUGCUUUCCUCGAUCCCAGCGACGCCCAGCUAAAGACACUGAGGGGAGGACCCCCCACACUGUCCAAAGCACUGAUUCUUCAAGGCAAGUGUCCUACUCUCAGCGGCGGCGGGGAGGAGGGGGGCAAAAUAAAACCGGCGAUCUCAAAAGCCCCUGCCGUGCCGGCUGUAGCUGGAUGGAAUCCGCCUUUGGAGACCUCCGCUGACGGGAUGUGCGGGACGGCGUGCAGGGUCCCCUCUCGGGGGUCAUCGCCGCCGCUGACCCGCUGGCCUCUGCGACCUCGCUGUGACAGAUGGCUCCCUUUACGGUGUUCGCUCUCCCAUCACGACCCCGCCCGAAAAGGCGGCGACUGUCCUGACGCAGAGGGAAGGGAUGGCUGCAUUUUCCAUGCUUCACGCCUUUGUCCGGGGCAGGACCAGGGAGCCUCCACGCGCACCUGAGAGGCAGCAGAGGGAAGUGGCAGACGGCCGGGACUUCCACCUAUGAUUACAACCUCCUUCCAGGUGGGGCCAGUGCCGUCUUCAGUGGCCCUGGUCUGAUGACUGGAAGUGCCUGAUGUCCCAGACCAGGGUCUAAACGGCCUGAGAAUUCCCUCUGGCACGCUCUCUGGGAUCGCUCGCUGGCCACCAGCCAGACUCUGUGGAUGCCCGAGCAGCACCGUGGAAAGGCCCACGUGCAUGCGCUAUUUUGGGUCUGAAACUUCCAGCCCAUUAAGCCUUGAGAGACCAGAGCCCCGGCCAACGGCUCCACUACAACUUCACUAGAGACUCCAAGGCAGAGCCACCUAGCUAAACGACUCUCUGAUUUCUGACCCAUAGAAAAUAGGAGAUAUUUGUUUAUUGUUUUAAACCCUGAAGCUUUGGGGUAACUUAUUAGGCAGCAAUAGAUAACCGCUACAAAGACUCAGGAAGGAGUACAUGAAUCUGGGAAAAAGAGAUACAAGCAACCUUGGAGUUCCCGUUAUGGUUCAGCAUGUUAAGAACCUGACUAGUAUCCAGGAAGAUGGGGGUUCGAUCCCUGGCCUCGCUCAGUGGGUUAAGGAUGGAGCAUUGUGGUAGCUGUGGUGUAGACCGGAAGCUACAGCUCUGAUUCUACCCCUAACCAGGUAACUUCCAUAGGCUGCAGGUGUGCCCCUAGAAGAGAAAAAAAACAAAGAUGAAAAGAGAUACAAACAACCCAACCGGCUAUCACUACGAGCAAGAUAAGAAGGGGGCUAUUCAAGAAACAAAAGUUACAUGGGGACCAACGAUGUUCGAACCUGCCAAGCGUGAUUUUCUCUCCGUACCAGGUCCUGUAUCAACUAGGAGAUUCCAUUCUAGGGCUUGGAAAGGAGUGCAUCAGACACGUGCUCAUUAAAAGCUUCUGGGUGUAAUAUUAGUAAUUGCUAUUUUUGCUGGUAUACAACGAGCACUUGUGUCCAGGGAUUAUGCUUUAUGCUGUUUAAAAUUUUUCUUUUUGGAUCCUUUCAAUGCUCCUAAAAAUGGAGAUAGCGGAGUUCCCGUCGUGGCGCAGUGGUUAACGAAUCUGACUAGGAACCGUGAGGUUACAGGUUCAAUCCCUGGCCUUGCUCAGUGAGUUAAGGAUCCGGUGUUGCCGUGAGCUGUGGUGUGGGUCGCAGAGGCGGCUCAGAUCCCACGUUGCUGUGGCUCUGGCAUAGGCUGGUGGCUGCAGCUCCUAUUCGACCCCUAGCCUGGGAACCUCCAUAUGCUGCGGGAGUGGCCCUAGAAAAGGCAAAAAGACCAAAAAAAAAAAGAGAUAGCAAUAUUACCACUGUUUCAUAGCUGAGGAAAAAAAAAAAAAUUUCAUCUAUCUAUUAGGUCUUUCACCUACCAGGGUAAGUAUCUAUUAGCCUCUCUCCUUCCAGGCAGGUCACGGAUGCUGGCAUGGGCAAGUGGGGAUGGGCACCCAGGUGGGCUGACAGUGGGUACUUCAAGCUACAGAAUAAACUCAGUGCAUCUUCCCAGAGCAUCAGUGUUAGAACAGACAAGAGAAUUAAAAUGCCAUUUUUACAUUUACAUGAACAUAAAUAUUCUGGUAAAAUAAAAGUUCCCUGGAGCUUUUAAGAGGAGUCUUAGAGGCUCAUGGUGGGUGAUCUCAGGGUGUGUCCCAGACCCUCCAGGACACAUGUGCAGCCUCUGUAAAAGCACUGGCUGGGACACAGCUUGUAUAUGAGAGAAUGAAGGCUGAACAGGGGACGUGACCUCCAAAGUCACAGAGCUGGCAAUCAGAGAUCUGGGGUGUCCGGAGCCUCCAGCUCCUAGGGGACUCCUCUGUCUCCAGGCUGCUCCACCAGCCAGGCUGUGGCAGCUGCAAGGGGCUGGGAGCAAAUCCCCUCCCUCUUACACUAUCUCCACUCCCUAAAUAUCGCAUCCCGCCCCUCCCGUCCCCUCCAACAAGGACUGUGAUUACGGCGGCGUCAUUAGUGCCCUCGAAGAAAAAGCGCCUUUCAGAUACUCCUAAAUGUGUUUGCAAUGAUCGCAGUGGCCCUUUUGAUAAAUAAUUGAAGAAGAGGCGAGUGACCUGGAGGCGGCAGGGGUGAGGACGGGGAUGCAGGAGGAGGCCAGGCGGCCCAGGGAACAGAAAAGUCAUUUACGGAGGCAAGGAGGGAGCUCUCCGCCUCCCGGGGGGCCCGGAGCUGCUCAGAUGUUCCCUCCAAUCCAGGCUGAUGCCAUCCUGCUUGGCCAAAUCGACCUGAACAGCCCAGAAAGCUGCGCGGCCGCACCUGUCACCCCCAAUCGGCGCUGCGGAAACUUUGUUAGGAAAAUAGAUGUACUGAGAUUCAAUUUUUCGAUUGUCUGAAGACUUCAUUUAGUGACCUUGGGGAGCCUCUCCUAGAGGUGAACGGAGAUGCUGGGAAUCUUCCUGGAGCCGGGGAGGGGGGAGACGGGGCUGCCCUGGUAAUGGGUAAUUUGUUUAACUCUCAUUUUCAGGCCUCCUCGGGAAGUCGUGGAAACAGUCAGAGAGGUGCUACCAUUUUCUUAAUGAAAAAAUAAAAAAUAAAAAAGACCUGGGGGCAGGAGGAAGGUAUGAGAGAGACUGACUCCCAGCCACGCUGUGUCACUUUCCUAAGAGCACUUAGGUCACUACGUCUUAAGACAUUACGAAAAAAACAGAGAGACCUACCUCUGGAUGCGCUUCUAAAGUGAUAGAUGGGGAGACAGCGAACCUGGGAGAUUUUUAAACGUAACACAAAGGAAGAGAAAAUGCUAAGCCCAGAGACCUACCAUCCGGAGGCAAAAACUACUAGGACAGUGAUACUGCUCCCGUCCCUCCUGCCUUCUCCUCCCUCUUGCCUUCAUCCUCCGCCCCUUCUCCUUCCCCUGGCGGCUAUGGUAGCUACUGUCACUGUCACAGCUCUUGCCGCGGCACUACAGGGCAAGAGACCCACGGAGACGGUGUUCAGAGGAGGAGGCGCCCACCAGCUUGGCUCGUUCGAACGCAAUCCGAGGAAAGGGACCUGCUUGGGUGGGGGCGGGGAUGGCGGCUGGAACGGGCAGGUGCCCGGCUCUGGCUCCAGUCCGCACUUGCUCUGGGCCCUUGUGAUGCGGCGCUCACCACCUCUCGGAGUCCCGAUUCCCUCUGAGUGAGAGGAUCCCCAAACCCUCAGCACAGAAGCUGGUCCAGGCUAAGGGGAGGCUCACCGUUCGCUGCUUGUGCCCCACACGCGUCCCAUGAUCUCCGGCCUGGGCUUCUAGAAAACCCUCUAGAUCAUGAAGGGGCAAACUUUUCCUGCACAGGGCGGAACAGUAAACACUUCAGGUGGGCCGGCUGAUCUCUGCUGCAGCGACUCAACUUUGCUAUCGUAGCUUGAGAGCAGCCAGGGACAGAACGGAGCCAAUCAGGCAAGGCUGUGUUCUCAUAAUUCCAAGUGUAAAAAAUGGGGAGGGGGGGAGUUCCCGUGUGGCUCAGAGAGUUAAGAACCCAAGGUUGUCUCUGUGAGGAUGCAGGUUUGAUCCCUGGUCUGGCUCAAAAGAAAAAAAAAACAAAAAACAAUCUGGCAUUGCCACUAGCUGCAGAGUAGGUCAUAGACACAGCUCAGAUCCGGUGUUGCUGUGGCUGUGAUGUGGGCCGAGGCUACAGCUCUGACUGACCCCUGGCCCGGGAACUUUCACGUGUCACAGGUGCAGCUGUAAAAAGCAAAAAUGGGGGGAGGGGAAUCAGCUGGCUUUGGCGUCCCUUGGGCUGUAGUUUGCUGACCCUUUUGCUUUAGAUCAACUUUCCUCAAGGUGUCAUCCACGCAUCACUGGCAGCAGGAACUCCUGCACUGCUUGGUAAACAUGCAGACCCCUGGGUCUCAUCCUGGAUCAGCUAUAUUUUAUACCUUUUUUUUGGCUGCACUUGUGUCAUGUGGACGUUCCCAGGCCAGGGAUCAAACCUGCAUCGUGGCAGUGACCAGAGCCACGGCAGUGACAAUGCAGGCUCUUUAACAGCUCAGCCACCAGGGAACUCCUGGCAGCCCCUUUAAGAUGAGGUCUGAGAGCUGGUCCCCCCAGAUCCUGAAGCAGGUGAAGUUGGAGAAUCUGUCUUCUAGUCUGACUUAGAACCUGUGACCCUUUGCCAGACCCAGAAAUAAAACAGAGGAGGAGGAGGGUGUGAAAUGAAGCGGGCUUUCCCGGGGCUACAUUUUCCUCCUGGACUCCUAACGGGCCUGAGCAAGAGUCCAGUGCUCCCAGGACCCUAUCGCCGUCCUGGAUAAGUCACUCACGUCACUCACCACUCAGGACAGAAGCGAGCCUUCUCGCUCCUCCCUCGGGCUCAGAGCUCAGUGUAUGGACAAACAGAAACAGGCCCUGGGGCUUGCAGGACAGGGGACUCAGGGAACAAAUCUAAAAGAAGAGACGUGGUCGCGGGAGGCUUUGGGGUCAGAGAAGCAGGGAGAGGGGGCGGCCGAUGCUCAGAAAGGUGGAACAAUUGCUCAGCCAGACAGAUGAGCCUGAUCUUUCGAAGUAACCCGCGCUAUGGAACAGGUGCUGGGCACUGCUCCGAGCGCAUCACUGGUACUAACUUGUUUCCAUGGCCCUGGCAUCACAAGAGGUGGGUUCUGCUACAGUCCCCAUAUCUAGGAUGAGAAAACAGGUGCCCAGAAAGGCUGAGUACCUUUCCCAAGGUCACAGAGAACAGAGCUCUCAGGCCAGCGGCUCCACUGCAGAACCCACAGGAUGCUGGCUCCUGCACCGUACAUACUUCUCACAAAAGCACAGCUAGCGGGAAUCCAGGGGGCCCUGCGUCAGCUGGGAUGCGAGAUCACUGUCAGAAAACAGUCCCUGAUUCCCUGCUUUAGUAUCACAAAUUCUAGAGCCUCACUCUCUGCUCCGUUUUAUCUCCCAACGAGCAAGCUGGGCCCUGGCUCCACCGAGCUCCAGGCCCACUCCUGUGCCUUCCUGAAGCCCUGCAGAAGCUGCCCUCCAGCCUCUGGGAUCAGGCCACACUCUCCUGUGCCAACCCUUUGGGGCUCCUGCAAGCCUGGGGUAGCGUGGCAGGAACCAAGGGGUUACAUUCCAGCUUUGCAAUUCACAGCUGUGCAGCUCUGGCACCUUCCUUACCCUCUCGGGCUCUUGAUUUCCCUCCUCUAUGAAAUGGGGAGAACCGGGUCCAGAUGUCAGGAUUAACGAGACGUAUGAGUACAGGAGGCAGACAAAGCUGCUCGAAGGACAGAGGCAGGGUCACCUCCACCACGUGGCUUCAGAUCCUGCUCUGAGGCCCAAACGGCUCAUGUGUAAAAUAGAAAUAAUAACAGUACCCACAUUACAGGCUUGGGGAAUGAGAGACAGUGACGGGAGAAGCAGUAUUAAUAUGGCAUGUUAGUAAUAAAAGAUCACUGGCACACAAUUACCGCGAACAGUAACAAUAGCAAAUAACCAACUUAAGAAAUAGAGUGAGGAGUUCCCGUUGUGGCACAGCGGAAGCAAAUCUGACUAGGAAUCAUGAAGUUGAAGGUUCGAUCCCUGGCCUCGCUCAGUGGGUUAAGGACCUGGUGUUGCUGUCAGCUGUGGUGUAGGUCGCAGACGCGACUCGGAUCUAGCAUUGCUGUGGCUGUGGUGUAGGG
rnacentral:lncRNA from 1 species